rnacentral:lncRNA from 1 species
GAACAGGUGUAAAAUAGAUUUAUUUUGUGCUGACUGAACAAAGCCUUCAAUACAAAAACCAUAAGGGAAAUCUCCUAAUUCUAUCUAAAAUAUGAUAGUUUUUAACACACAUUUCACUUCUAAUAUUUCUAUAAUUAACAUGAAGACUGUAAAAAGUUUACAUAAAGUUUAAGCAAAUAAUGCAUUUCUAGGAUAUAGUAGCAUGUAUGGAGUAACAAAAUUAUAAGAGAGCUAGUUAACCAGGGUAUAUUGAAUAAUUUAUUUUACUUCUUCCUCCCAAAGAAGUUUCUUUGGUUUUAAUGAGUAUCCAUGUCUAUGAGAAAAUUAUGUAUUUGCUACAGUCAGAUGCUGGCCUAUGAUACAUGGAGGCAGAUGAAAAUCAGGAAAUACAAGUGAUACUGAUAAAGGCAGACCAAUAUCAAUUAGCUAAUGCAGUCCACAAAUCUUUUAUACAAUGAAUUUUGAAAAUUAUUUGCAUGGCUGGCCUAAAGGCUUAUUUUAGAAUAAUAAUUUAUAGCAGAUAAUUUUGAUAAUGCAUGCUAUUAUCAAAGAGUAAUUUUAAAAAUGGAAGUUGCCUAGGAAAGAAGGUUAAAAAAAAAUACUGUACCAAAAAAUUACUUUAAUAAAACAUAAAAUCCACACAAGUGUUCAGUUGUCUGAUUUCUCUAAUAUGCUUCCAGAUCAUCUUGAACUUAAGUUUUGAUUGCUAACUUUUUCAAAGCAUCAGUGGAAUCACAACCCAUUCAUUC